UUGGAGACAGCCAAUCAGGUUGACUCCCUGCUACGUUAGCACAGCUCUGGCAAAACAACCAGUCCCCGUCUCAAUUUGUUUCCUGUUAGCAUUCGCAGCAUAGCCACUGAUCAAACUGACCGUGUAAAAUGUUAAAUUAACGAAAGCGUUUGCACUUGGUUGAUGCAAUCUUUGUUUUGGCGUUAGUGUACGUUUUAAGGCAGAGCUAAUCGGAGCUGUGACGCGCCUUGCUAGCUUACUGUAGCUAACAUCGGCGACCCAAAAGAGAAAAAUGGGGUCCAUCCUGAGUCGCAGAAUCGCUGGUGUUGAGGAUAUCGAUAUCCAGGCCAACUCGGCCUAUCGAUUUCCCCCGAAAUCUGGUAAUUAUUUUGCGAGCCACUUCUUCAUGGGAGGGGAGAAAUUCGACACACCACAUCCAGAGGGAUACCUUUUUGGAGAAAAUAUGGACCUGAAUUUUCUUGGAAAUAGGCCAGUCCAGUUUCCAUAUGUGACGCCUGCACCCCAUGAGCCUGUGAAAACCCUGAGGAGUCUGGUCAAUAUUAGAAAGGACUCUCUGCGUUUGGUCAGGUAUAAAGAUGACUCUGACAAUCCGGUGGAGGAAGGUGGAAAACCAAAGAUUCAGUAUGGUGUGGAGUUCACCUUUGAUGCUGAUGCUCGAGUGGCCAUCACCCUCUACUGCCAAGCAUUUGAGGAGUUCGCCAAUGGGAUGGCAGUGUACAGCCCAAAGAAUCCAUCACUGGUCUCUGAAACUGUACAUUACAAGCGAGGGGUGAGCCAACAGUUCUCCAUGCCAUCUUUCAAAUUAGAUUUCUGCGAGUGGAAAGAAGAAGAUCUGAACUUUGACCUUGACCGAGGAGUGUUUCCCAUGGUAAUCCAAGCUGUGGUUGAUGAAGGGGACGAUUGCCUUGGACAUGCUCACGUCCUUUUGGCAGCCUUUGAAAGACACGUUGAUGGCAGUUUCUCCGUCAAGCCUCUCAAGCAGAAGCAAAUUGUGGACCGUGUGAGCUACCUCUUACAGGAAAUCUAUGGGAUUGAGAACAAAAACAACCAAGAAACAAAGCCAUCUGACGAUGAGAACAGUGACAACAGCAACGAGUGUGUUGUCUGUCUGUCCGACCUGCGAGAUACACUCAUCCUGCCCUGCAGACAUCUGUGUCUCUGCAACUCCUGCGCAGACACACUGCGUUACCAGGCCAACAACUGUCCGAUCUGCAGACUGCCCUUCAGAGCCUUGCUGCAGAUCAGAGCUGUGAGGAAAAAGCCUGGUGCUCUUUCCCCUGUGUCCUUCAGCCCUGUUCUGGCUCAGACUAUGGACCAUGACGAGCACUCUAGCACAGACUCGGUUCCUCCUGGCUUUGAACCCAUUUCACUGUUAGAGGCUUUGAAUGGUCUGCGGUCAGUUUCUCCUGCCAUCCCAUCUGCACCCCUCUACGAUGAAAUCAACUUCUCAGGGGGUGUGGGCGGUGACAGCAGACAGCUGAGCUCCCCUGAGCAUUUAAGUGAUGGGAGUCUGCAGAAAGGCAAAGUCAGCAAGUCACCUGACAGUACCCUUAGGUCUCCAUCGUCUCCCAUCCAGGAAGAAGAUGAGGAGAAGCUGUCUGAGAUGUCUGAUGCUCAGCCUCACACACUGCUGUCCAGCAGCCCCGCCCCCACUGAUGCCACAGCAACCGAGGAUGUGGCAGAAUCCCUGUCUCCAGAUGACGAGGACAGGAUGCAUUCUGGAGGAGACAUCCUACAGGACUGCAGCAGUGAACACAGCAGCUUGACCAAAACAGAGAGCGACCCACCGGGUGACUUGUCUCUGCCAGGUGACACAUUCUCUGCCAGGAACAGAGAAGAAAUAUUAGACUGUGAAGAAUAAUCUUUAAUACCUUGCAAACAAGAAAGAAAAGGAAAGAAGCAGAAUAUGUGCUGUGUAUGUAAUCUCUUACAGUAUAGACCUCUACUUUCUGAUGACGGCUUAGAGCAAAUCAUCUGGUUCUUGCUUAUUUUUGACUCCUUUCUAGUUCUGGUUCUCUAACGUUUCUCAAAUCCAAGACUUGUGGCUGUGAUUCCCUGUGCUUUUGCAUCUAAACUGUUUGCUCCUGUGCUUCUCUGUUUCCUAACACUCUUUAUGUUCCCUGCUGUCCUGUCCCUUCGCACUUUGGGCAGCUCUUGGUCCUGAUUCCUGCUCUAUUGGUAUGGAGGAAUAACUGGUUCAUCAGAGUCAACAGAAAGCCUGAAAAGUCAGAGCACAAACUGCUCUAGCCAGCCUCUCCUGUGUCCCACGAGCAGCCUUCAUAUGGAAGAUGAGCACCUCAAUCCCUGACUCUGAUCCAGCGUUUUCCAUCCCAUCCAUCAGGACAGAUUUAUUUGUUACAAAGAUCAUCCAGUCCCUCUAUUCCUUUUACCUUAUCUUCUGCUUCAGUGAUCAGAGCCAAUGACGGCCCUUAAAGGAAGUCCACCGGGAUAAGGGAGGACUGUUUAUUCCAUUGUCUCUGAAAUUAGAAAAGAAAAUUGACUCCUGCAAAGAUGUUCUUGAUACCUUACUCUAUGACUGAUGUUUAAAAAAUCAUAUAUUGUUUUCCCAGCUUUGAAAACAUUUCAUUAACUAUCAGAUGGUGUUCAGUUGUGUGUCUUGGCCAGAGUUGUGGUCUAGUAAUAUGGAUUCCAGAGAUAUUUUACUACCUGUCAUGGUGGUUUUAAGCACACUUAUUUUAAAUUAACUCUCUAUCAAUUGCUUAACACUAAAUUCAGAAGAAUUUAUAAAUACAGUUUGUGUCUAGAUAUUGUAUUCAUCUGUGAAAUACAUUAAUGACUUGAGAACUUAUUUUUACAGUAAGGUUGAUUUGGGUUAUGAGCAGAAAUUUGAAAACAUAUUACAUAUGUAUGUAUCUGUAUGUCUAUUUGAAGUGAUUUUGCACUCCGACAAAAUCGUUUAUAAUCCAUUCCUUAUAACAAUAGUUUAUGAUGAGAUGAAGUUGUCUGCCGUCUUAAACAUCUACAUGUCACUUUUUUUAAUUAUUUCUAAUGAUGUGAUAUCUAUGUAUCAUAACUGUACUAGAAUACUGUGUAGUUACUUCCAAAAUUGUAUACUUGCAUAUUACAUAAAAAAGAUCCUAAUAUUAAAAUAAUGAGACUACAUUCAGUUAACAUGCACAUUAUUUAAGACUUGGAUAAUCGAUAAGAGCUACCUAUUUCACGUCCUUACAGCUAAACUCAAAGAUAGCUAAAGCCUGCAACAAGCAUAGACGCUCCAGCUACAUGUAUGCUGACUCAGUAUGGCACAGUAAGUGUUCUUGUCGUAGAUGUGGCAGAUAUCUUUACAGUCUUUUUGUGGCAAUGCCAGUGUCUGCUUAUGUGAUGUAGCUGCAAAAAAGGGGUCUGGUGUUUGCGUGGCUGCAACAUCUUUACAUAACUUGGUCCUGUAUGUGUAGCGCCAUGCAUAUACAUCUCUGUGCCUUGAAUUAAUAUGGCUGCCUGCUUGUUGCAUUGGACGUUAGUGUUCUUAUAAAUGCUACAAUAUACAACACUUUUCAGCCCAUAGACAGGAUAUUUGAUUCUGAUGUACAGAGCCUUUUUUUAUAUUGCAAACUUCAUGCUACUGGAAAAAUGUAUCUUGUUAUUGUUAUUGCAAUAUAAAUUUGAACUGUUCAUUUACUAUGUUAUGACCAUGUAUCAAUUAUGCAUUUAAUCUAAGGUUCAAGCAGAUUCUUUUAAUGUAUGUUUGAUUGGAAGGACGACAUCCAAUGCAAUUACAAUGCAAACAUUGCAUUUUAAUAAUUGGGCUAGCAUUUGCAUGUGAAUUUGUAGAGGCUUGAACCUCACUGCUUUUAAGCAACAUUGUUAUUUUGUAUUUCCCCCCCUCCUCUUCUGUGCCAUUUCAACUUGACACUGUGCCUUCCUGAUCCUGUUCUGACUACUGUUGACCUGGUAUCCAGGAUAACUCCACAGUAGGUGGUUUGUGGCUCUCUGUAAAAUCAAUACCUGUCUUUCCUCGUGUGUAUAGCAGCAUGUGUGUAACAAUAAAGAACAAAGAUUCAGUACUUCAA